rnacentral:rRNA from 1 species
GACGAACGCUGGCGGCGUGCCUAAUACAUGCAAGUUGAGCGAUGAAGAUUGGUGCUUGCACCAAUUUGAAGAGCAGCGAACGGGUGAGAAACGCGUGGGGAAUCUGCCUUUGAGCGGGGGACAACAUUUGGAAACGAAUGCUAAUACCGCAUAACAACUUUAAACAUAAGUUUUAAGUUUGAAAGAUGCAAUUGCAUCACUCAAAGAUGAUCCCGCGUUGUAUUAGCUAGUUGGUGAGGUAAAGGCUCACCAAGGCGAUGAUACAUAGCCGACCUGAGAGGGUGAUCGGCCACAUUGGGACUGAGACACGGCCCAAACUCCUACGGGAGGCAGCAGUAGGGAAUCUUCGGCAAUGGACGAAAGUCUGACCGAGCAACGCCGCGUGAGUGAAGAAGGGUUUCGGAUCGUAAAACUCUGUUGGUAGAGAAGAACGUUGGUGAGAGUGGAAAGCUCAUCAAGUGACGGUAACUACACAGAAAGGGACGGCUAACUACGUG